rnacentral:rRNA from 1 species
GACGAACGCUGGCGGCGUGCCUAAUACAUGCAAGUCGAGCGGACAGAUGGGAGCUUGCUCCCUGAUGUUAGCGGCGGACGGGUGAGUAACACGUGGGUAACCUGCCUGUAAGACUGGGAUAACUCCGGGAAACCGGGGCUAAUACCGGAUGGUUGUUUGAACCGCAUGGUUCAAACAUAAAAGGUGGCUUCGGCUACCACUUACAGAUGGACCCGCGGCGCAUUAGCUAGUUGGUGAGGUAACGGCUCACCAAGGCRACGAUGCGUAGCCGACCUGAGAGGGUGAUCGGCCACACUGGGACUGAGACACGGCCCAGACUCCUACGGGAGGCAGCAGUAGGGAAUCUUCCGCAAUGGACGAAAGUCUGACGGAGCAACGCCGCGUGAGUGAUGAAGGUUUUCGGAUCGUAAAGCUCUGUUGUUAGGGAAGAACAAGUACCGUUCGAAUAGGGCG